rnacentral:rRNA from 1 species
UACGUAGGGGCUAGGCGUUGUCCGGAAUCAUUGGCGUAAAGCGCGUGUAGGCGGUCCGGUAAGUCCGCUGUGAAAGUCGGGGGCUCAACCCUCGAAUGCCGGUGGAUACUGUCGGGCUUGAGUACGGAAGAGGCGAGUGGAAUUCCUGGUGUAGCGGUGAAAUGCGCAGAUAUCAGGAGGAACACCAAUUGCGAAGGCAGCUCGCUGGGACGUUACUGACGCUGAGACGCGAAAGCGUGGGGAGCAAACGGG